rnacentral:rRNA from 1 species
GACGAACGCUGGCGGCGUGCUUAACACAUGCAAGUCGAACGGAAAGACCCUGCUUUUGUGGGGUGCUCGAGUGGCGAACGGAUGAGUAACACGUGAGUAACCUGCCCUUGACUUUGGGAUAACUUCAGGAAACUGGGGCUAAUACCGGAUAGGAGCUCCUGCUGCAUGGUGGGGGUUGGAAAGUUUCGGCGGUUGGGGAUGGACUCGCGGCUUAUCAGCUUGUUGGUGGGGUAGUGGAUUACCAAGGCUUUGACGGGUAGCCGGCCUGAGAGGGUGACCGGCCACAUUGGGACUGAGAUACGGCCCAGACUCCUACGGGAGGCAGCAGUGGGGAAUAUUGCACAAUGGGCGGAAGCCUGAUGCAGCAACGCCGCGUGCGGGAUGACGGCCUUCGGGUUGUAAACCGCUUUCGCCUGUGACGAAGCGUGAGUGACGGUAAUGGGUAAAGAAGCACCGGCUAACUACGUG